rnacentral:rRNA from 1 species
UACGUAGGGGGCAAGCGUUGUCCGGAAUCAUUGGGCGUAAAGCGCGUGUAGGCGGCUCGGUAAGUCUGCUGUGAAAGUCCAGGGCUCAACCCUGGGAUGCCGGUGGAUACUGUCGAGCUCGAGUCCGGAAGAGGCGACUGGAAUUUACGGUGUAGCGGUGAAAUGCGUAGAUAUCGCUUGGAACGCCAAAGGUGAAGACAGGUUGCUGGGGGUGUGCCGACGCUGAGACGCGAAAGCCAGGGGAGCAAACGGG